ensembl:lncRNA
GGGGCUAUAUAACCACUACGUGGGCCCCACUUCUUCGGUGCCCUUUCUUCCUUCAGGAAGAAAGGCCCUGGGCCAUGGUUCCUCAUAAAGCUUUGUUUAAUUUUCUCUUGCUAUUCUGUCUCAUGUGAAUUUAAUUCGUUCUCCGGCCAGACGAACCCCCAUUUGGGAAGAGGAAAUGUCCUCCUCCCCUACAGUUUUGGCGUAGUCGGCAGGAUGAAAUUUCACUGGCUGGACACUGCUUGCUCCUGGACUGCUGUGGCCGAGAGAUCCUGGACCCCUGACGAGAGCCGGCAAGAGGUAAGAGUUCUUACCACGUCAGUCUCCCGGAUCUCUGCCAGCGGAGUCCAAUGGAAGCAAGAGUGAGGAAUUCAUGGAAAGGACUCUGACACUUACUCUGGAAUACAGGUUUCUGACAAACUUUCAGAUCAUAGAACUGAACUCUGGAUAAGAAAUUACAGAAAUCUCAUGGAGAAACUGAUGACCCCAUAAAACUGCUAACGGAAGAUUAAGAUCAAGAACCGGUUAUGCAGGACUGAAUGAACUGAGGAUGAUUAUAUUUUUUUUUACGACUUUCAUUUGAAAUAUUGUUGAUUUUUUGAUGUUUUGCUUUGUUUUCUCAGAUUCAAGAAAAUCUUUUUCUCUUUUUUCUUGUGCUAACUAUGACUUAGCAAUUUGGUGAAAUUAUACCUUUUUGAGCAAAACUGAAACAUUUAUCUUUUUCUCCCUACCUGAUCCCUCCAGAAUUUGGAAACUCUUUGUGAGUAUGGUUAUUUCAUGGCAAUAUAGUUGUUUGCAUAAGUUCAAUAAGAAUCUGUUCUCCUUAUAACAGGACACAUUGGUUGUAUUACCAAGGCUUUGACUGGAAUGUCAUAUUUGAGAGAAACAUACAGACUCGGAUAUGACAAUACUGCCUUUGAGGAAUAAGGUUGACUUUCUGGAAAUAAGCCACUUGGAAAUAUGGGCCUGGUACCUUGUUUACAGAGAUUCUGGCAAUCUUACCUGGUAAGCAAGGAAGCUUGAUUAUCUGUCAGAUGUAAGGAACCUCGGAAUAUUUUGGGGGACCUCAAGAAGAGAGGAGUCCACCCAAAUCUGUAGGUACUGCAGGCAAAACCUGACAGCAAGUCCUUGGCUUGGCUUUUCUGGCCUCGAGAGGCCUUUACAGUUCAAUCUGAGAUUCCUCAUAAAAAAAUUCCAGCAAAGCAAAUUUAAGAGCCUAUAUGAUCAACUGCUAUUCUUGCUGCACUUCUGUAAAUAAUUGGGCCAAGUUUCUUGAAACUAAACUUAUUUUGCAAACCAAUUAGUCUUAAUUUUGCUAUCUUUGGUAAAAAAAUGAGGGUGAUUUUAGAGAGAAGAACUAUGUUUCAGUGAAAAACUAUAAUACACAUUUGUGUAUGUUGGAUCCUAGUUUUGUUAAUUGUCUUUGAGUUUUUUUUUUCUACCUGUGAACUGGAUUGGAUCCUGAAUUAUUCUACUGAAAUAUCUGGUUACAAAUCUCCAAACUAAUGUUUUCAAUUUUUUUACCUCAUUUUCAUUUGGAAUCAUUGAGAAUUGAACCUGCUCUUUUUCCUGAAGCCUUGCAAACUGAAGCUGAACGGCUUGAUAGAAACUUGAGAGAUUCCUGUCUGUUGCUGUGUAAGCUGUAAGCCACUCAGAAAGAUACCUGAAUGCCCGAUGACAUCACCAGAGACAUUUCAAGCUGCUAAAGAUGCUUCACUCUGACAUCUAGAAGUCUUCUUGACUGACUGCAUGCUGGACUCGGGAACUAGUUUAUAAUUUGCUCC